rnacentral:tRNA from 1 species
GCGCGCAUGGGCGAGAUCUUCGCGAGCCUGCGCGAUCUCGUACAUCGCGAGACUCAGGCAGCGUGCGAAUUCGAUACCCGCUGCGUUCGCC